rnacentral:lncRNA from 1 species
GUCUCUCUUUAUCAAGUCAUCAUGUUUGGGAACAAGUGUAACACGGUAGGAAUGAAGAUGCCUCUUGUGUGGGAGGCUGAUGCUCCAAAGGAUUCAUGCUUUCAGCUAACAGAGGCUUCAUCCACCCUCAGUGCUCAGGCAGCAUUUGGAAGAGAAGGAUGACUGGAAGGAAGAAAGCUACAGUUUUCUUAUUGUAGUUAUGGGGAAAUUGCACUGAUCCGUGCAUGCACUUUUACCCAGUCUCCCCGGUCACAAACCUGCCAGAACAAGCACUUGAGCUGAAAAUACUAAUCUGUAUAUGUGUUAGGCACAGUUCUGGAGGCUGGGAAAUCCAAGAUUAAUAUCAGCAGAUGUGGUGUCUGGUGAAGGCCUGCUUUGCCACAGGUGCUGCUUCACAGUCGUUAAGAAGUGAGUUUGUGUCGUUUGUAGGGACAUGGAUGAAUCUGGAAAACAUCAUCCUCAGCAAACUGACACAAGAACAGAAAAUGAAACACCGCAUAUCCUCACUCAUAGGUACAAGGGUGUGGACCUGCCUCGUGAUCAGAAUGCCGUAGAAAUGAGAGCUGUCAGCAAUGGGUCUCCACUGCGAAUACUCAGGAAUGAACAAGGCCAUUUUAACUCCAUGGUAAGUGUGGUAAGGGGGAAGCCAAUGUGAAAGUCAGGGAAGUCACAGUCUACUUUAAAUAUUAGUUCCU